ACGCGUAAACAAUCUGCCCUUCAGUCUGGGACAACUUUUCGAAAGGAGAGCUAAUACCGGAUAACAAUGCAUGACACAAGUUGUAUAUUUGAAAGCUUUAUGUGCUGAAGGAGGGGUCUGCGUCCCAUUAGCUAGUUGGUAAGGUAAAGGCUUACCAAGGCAACGAUGGGUAGCGGGUUUGAGAGGACGAUCCGCCACACUGGAACUGAGACACGGUCCAGACUCCUACGGGAGGCAGCAGCGGGGAAUAUUGCACAAUGGAGGCAACUCUGAUGCAGCAAUGUCGCGUGAGUGAAGAAGGCCCUUGGGUCGUAAAGCUCUUUUAUGGGGGAAGAUGAUGACGGUACCCCAAGAAUAAGCACCGGCUAACUAUGUGCCAGCAGCCGCGGUAAUACAUAGGGUGCGAGCGUUGUUCGGAAUUACUGGGCGUAAAGGGCGCGCAGGCGGAAUAGUAAGUCGGAGGUGAAAGCCCGGGGCUCAACCCCGGAGGGUCUUUCGAAACUACUAAUCUAGAGAGGGUCAGGGGCCGGCAGAAUUCCUGGUGUAGAGGUGAAAUUCGUAGAUAUCAGGAGGAAUACCGGUGGCGAAGGCGGCCGGCUGGGGCCACUCUGACGCUGAGGCGCGAAAGCGUGGGGAGCAAACAGGAUUAGAUACCCUGGUAGUCCACGCCGUAAACGAUGAGCACUGGACGUUCGGGGGGUUCGACCCUUCUGGGUGUUUCAGCUAACGCAUUAAGUGCUCCGCCUGGGGAGUACGGUCGCAAGACUAAA
rnacentral:rRNA from 1 species